AUUGAACGCUAGCGGUAUGCUUUACACAUGCAAGUCGAACGGCAGCGCGGACUUCGGUCUGGCUGCGAGUGGCGAACGGGUUAGUAAUGUAUCGGAACGUGCCCAGUAGCGGGGGAUAACUACGCGAAAGCGUAGCUAAUACCGCAUACGCCCCACGGGGGAAAGCAGGGGAUCGUAAGACCUUGCACUAUUGGAGCGGCCGAUAUCGGACUAGAUAGUUGGUGAGGUAACGGCGCACCAAGGCGGCGAUCCGUAGCUGGUUUGGGAGGACGACCAGCCACUCUGGGACUGCGCCACGCCCCAGCCCCCUUCGGGAGCCCGCCGUCGGCAAUUUUGGACAAUGGGGGCCACCCUGAUACAGCCGUCCCGCGUGUGUGAUGAAGGCCUUCGCGUUGUCAAGCACUUUUGGCAGGAAAGAAACGUCGCGGGCUAAUACCCCGUGGCAAUGACGGUACCUGCAGCAUAAGCUCCGGCUAACUACGUG
rnacentral:rRNA from 1 species